GACGAACCGUGCGAACGUUGUUCGGAAUCACUGGGCUUAAAGGGCGCGUAGGCGGGCAACCAAGUCUGAGGUGAAAUCCUCCAGCUUAACUGGAGAAGUGCCCCGGAUACUGGUUGCCUCGAGGAUGGUAGGGGCAUCUGGAACUAGCGGUGGAGCGGUGAAAUGCGUUGAUAUCGCUAGGAACUCCGGUGGCGAAGGCGAGGUGCUGGACCAUUUCUGACGCUGAGGCGCGAAAGCCAGGGGAGCGAACGGG
rnacentral:rRNA from 1 species